rnacentral:rRNA from 1 species
GAUCAUGGCUCAGGAUGAACGCUAGCGGCAGGCUUAACACAUGCAAGUCGAGGGGCAGCAUAAUGGUAGCAAUACUAUUGAUGGCGACCGGCGGACGGGUGCGUAACGCGUAUGCAACCUACCCUUUACAGGGGGGAUAACACUGAGAAAUCGGUACUAAUACCCCAUAAUAUUCUGGAGCAUCUUUCGGGUUGAAAGGCUUUGGUGUAAAGGAUGGGCAUGCGUUGUAUUAGCUAGUUGGUAAGG